AACGGCUGGCGGCAGGCCUAACACAUGCAAGUCGAGCGCGAAAACACUUCGGUGUGAGUAGAGCGGCGGACGGGUGAGUAAUGCUUGGGAAUCUGCCCAGUAGUGGGGGAUAACGUGUGGAAACGCACGCUAAUACCGCAUACGUCCUACGGGAGAAAGCAGGGGAUCUUCGGACCUUGCGCUAUUGGAUGAGCCCAAGUCGGAUUAGCUAGUUGGUGGGGUAAUGGCCUACCAAGGCGACGAUCCGUAGCUGGUCUGAGAGGAUGAUCAGCCACACUGGGACUGAGACACGGCCCAGACUCCUACGGGAGGCAGCAGUGGGGAAUAUUGCACAAUGGGCGAAAGCCUGAUGCAGCCAUGCCGCGUGUGUGAAGAAGGCUCUAGGGUUGUAAAGCACUUUCAGUAGGGAGGAAAAGCUUGAGGUUAAUAACCUUGAGCCCUGACGUUACCUACAGAAGAAGCACCGGCAAACUCCGUGCCAGCAGCCGCGGUAAUACGGAGGGUGCGAGCGUUAAUCGGAAUUACUGGGCGUAAAGCGCGCGUAGGUGGUUUGAUAAGCUAGCUGUGAAAGCCCCGGGCUCAACCUGGGAACUGCAGUUAGAACUGUCUGACUAGAGUACAGUAGAGGGUGGCGGAAUUUCCUGUGUAGCGGUGAAAUGCGUAGAUAUAGGAAGGAACAUCAGUGGCGAAGGCGGCCACCUGGACUGAUACUGACACUGA
rnacentral:rRNA from 1 species